AAAAACAAUAUCACGGCUUUAAGGGGUUAGUCUCACUCUUUCCGUGCUACCGGUAGGCCACACAUUUAAUUUGGUUUCUUGUCGUUGUCCUUUCUGAGUUGCCGGACAGUCCAUCCUAUUCAUGUCACCGGCCCUUCUUUCCUGAUUGAGCUGCCGGACCAUCUAUUCUUUUCGCGAUAAUUUGUUUCAUAUGUUUUUUGAAAGGUUCCAUCUUCUUGAGUUGCCAACCCUUCGUGCACCCGUCUUCUCCAACUCCGCAAAGUGGAAAAAGGGUUUGACAUCGCUAAUGUUUCUCCUUGCUGGGCUUACCGGCUCUUUUUCAUUUGAACCGUACAACAGACAACGUGAAAUCGAAGGAAAUAGUUGAAUACCGAGGACAGAAAAAGAGAACAGUUGAAAAAAAUAAGGAUGGGAACUUUUAUCGCCAAGUUUACACGGAAUUUACGGGGAAUUUGAACGUAGAUGCUGCACUUUUUAAUCCGCACUUGGUCGCUUGGCACAACGGUAACAAACGUGUUCUUCAUACCAUACUACUGCUGAAUUUCCAAAGCAUGACCAUAGAAAUACGGAUGAAAUAUGUGGUCCAAAAAGUUACGAAGGGCAAGCAUGUCUUCAAAGUUCACAAGAACCUUUUCGGAUUCGUACUUGAUAACAUUUCCUCCCAAUUACUAUAUGUUGUAGGUGAAAAAUAUUAAUUUUGUUUUUUGUUUCCUUUUACAGAUGUCGUAGGACUGUGCCUCGCCCGAGAGAAACUCCUAGUUGCAACUGAAAAAGAAAUUUUUCACCAAAUAGGGCUGUUACUCAUGAGUUCCGGUGAUGAAGACGGGGGCGUAGUCCAAAGAAAAAAAAAAGACUACGAAAAAAGCCGUGCUAGAAAAUCAUUUUAAAACUACAACAAACGACGCUGAUGGUGAUGGAAACAGCAGUACCAAUAGUGAAUCCGGAAAUUAAUUUGUUUAAUGGGGUUUAGAACAGUAACCGAAUUAUUCAAUAAAAACUGUUUCAGUAUCUUCAUUUAUAGCAUUAGGGCAAACAUAAAUUACAUCCUGAUGGGGAAACUACACUGCCCCAGCUCAAAAAUUCAUCACUUGUUUCUUUAUUGGAAAGGUUCCCAGUUGUGUUGCAAGGGGAAAUCGGCUUUAAGAUUCAAAAUUCCCUUGUGA